ensembl:lncRNA parathymosin
CGUCCCCAAGGGCACGAGCUCAGGUUCAUGGCUUUCGGUGCAGCCCUGGACCGCGUAAUCUCCUUUAACCCGUCCGAUAGAUAAUUAUUUGCAAAGCUCUCUUCGUUGGUUUUGCAAAACGCAGCGCUGCCGCUUCGCAAGCCCUUCUUUCCCGCUUGCCACUCGCUUCUCUCCCCUCUGCCUCUAAUCUCUCUCCUCCCUCCCUCCCGGCAGGCCCCUCCCUCCCCGCUCUCUCGUCACCGAGCCCCUUUUUCUGGCACUGCCUUGUCGCGGGAGAGAAGGAUUUUGUUGCUGGCGCUUGGGAGCGGAGCGGCUGCAGCUGGCAGGUCCCUGCUUCGAAAGCUGCAUCUCGUCUGCCUCGCCUUAAUUCUCGCUUGCUGCCAGGAUGUCAGAGAAGUCCGCCGACGAGGCUCCGGUGGAGCUCGGAGCCAAGGAGCUGAAAGAGAAGAAGGAAAAGCAUGAGGAGAAGUCUGCCCGCAAAGACAAGAAAGAGAUCGUAGAGGAUGAUGAAAAUGGGGCUGAAGAAGAGGAAGAUGAUGAAGAUGCAAAUCCUGAGGAUGUAGAUGAUGAGGAUGAAGAAGAUGAAGAUGAUGAGAAUGAACGGGAACCAGAUACACAUGCAGUAAAACGAUCUGCAGAAAAGAAGCAGGAAGAGGAUGAAGUUGACCCGAAAAGAAAGAAGACAGAAAAUGGCUCUUCAGCUUGAUCCUCUUGGCUCCAUCUGCAUCCUCUUCUCCGCUGUCCAACUAUCCGCACACCUUCCUUCCUCUGUCUGUGCAGGCAGCCUCUGUAGUGCUGUAGCUGCAGAUGAGGAAGAAGAGGGAGUUCAGUGUGCUUUCUGUCAAGAGGAAGCUCUUCUCCAGCUCCAAGAUCUGUUUCCAUAUUACAGUGCUCUCUACAGUUUCAUUACCCUUCACCCUCCAUUCAGAUAGCUCCAGUCUUUAGAAACAUUGCUUCCUCCGAUCUCUUCCCAGAACACCCUCACAAUUGCUGCCUGAGAUCCUCACGCCUCCUCAGCUUUCAACACCUCCUUGCAAACUCCUCCCUGCUCCCAUCCAGCACUUCACCCCUCCCCGUUGUUCCUUUUGGCCCCUUCCACAACCUUGUGGAGUUUCUAUGGUGCUGAAAGGGUUAAAUCACAUUUGGCACAUAGGAAGUCCAGAGCCGGGGAAAUUUGCUAUGAUAUGUUCCUGGGCUGUGCCUGUUCCCUUUCUAUUGCAGGAAAAAGUCAAAAUGUAGUGAUGGUGGUGAUGAUGAUAAUACAGUGAAAUGUGUUUUACUUAAAAAAAAAUAUUUACAGUUUUUAAUUAAUGCAUUUUGUACAAAUUUAAAUGACAGGCAGCAAGCUGAAUCUGGUGAACUUUUUUCUUCCUGGAGGCAAAGCUUGUUUUUAAUGUGUAAAGUAAUGUGUGAUUCGGUGUGGUUUUUUUCCCAUUUUGGGUGUUUGUUAUUUUUUAAUUAGGGGACCAAAGUUUGAUUUCUCCCUUGUUCCUGUCAGGUUCUUCGGUUGUUUUUCUUUGUAAAUUAAAGCAGAUCCAUCUGCAGUAUUUUCUAUGGCACAGACAUUAUGAGGAUGAGAUAUAUAAAUAUAUAUAUUGUUUAGCACUGUAAAUAAAAAACCUUUCAAAAAGAUUUCA